rnacentral:lncRNA from 1 species
GUUGGGUUUUUGUUGCUUUGCUUGUGUAAAGAGCGCUUUCUGUCUUUUUUUUUUUCUUCUCUUCCAGGGCUAAUGAUUGUUACCCCCUAAAAUGUUCCUUUUUUUGGCCCCUUCUCUUUGCAAGAGCUAAAAGGCUCUCUGGCCAUGCCACUGCUCUCCUUUUGCAGUGUUUUGUGUGUGAAGCAAGAGAAGGUUCUGGGGAGGUAGAGUCUGGCUUCAGGGAGAGAACAGAGAGGACCAAACCAGCAGGCACCGGAGAUGAACACGUGCAGAGCUGCGGAACGGCAGCAUGUAAUGGUGCACUAAUCGCCUUCUCUUUUCUCAGGUGCUGGCUCAAAAGUGACUCAGUACUUGAUCAAUACCUCUAG